rnacentral:lncRNA from 13 species
AUGGCAGCCUCUGAACACUGGAAAGGGUUAUCCCUGGCCCACUUAUCCCUACUGGGGCCACGCAUUCCAGGUGCGAAUGAAUGGACUGGAUCAAGUAGAGUGCACAUGUCUUUCACUCACUCUUUGAGCAUACAGCCAGUUCCAGCCACUGUACUAGAAGAGGCAAAGCGUAAUCAUCACUGACUGCAGAAGACAGUAAUGAAAUCCAGGUAAGUAAAGACAAAAGAAAAACAUCCAUAAUUCACUCUCAAAGAUGUUCUCACUAAGUCUUCCAGACCUUUGAGUGUGUCUAACAUAAGGCUGCAAAACUGGGACCAUACUUAAUAUAAGGGUGUGGCUUUUUUUAACUUAAGAAUAUAUAAUGAAAAAUAUUACUUAAAAACUUUUUAAAAAUGUAUUUUAGCGAUAAAGUCUUGCUCUGUCUUCCAGGCUGGAGUGCAGUGGCACUGUCGUUACUCACUGUAACCUCUUACUUCUGGGUUCAAGCUCUCCUGCCUCAGCCUCCCGAGUACCUGGGACUGCAGGUGUGAGCCACCGAGACCUGUUAAGAGUCACUUUUAGGGCCGGGCGCAGUGGCUCACGCCUGUAAUCCCAGUACUUUGGGAGGCCGAGGCAGGUGGAUCACGAGGUCAAGGGAUCGAGACCAUCCUGGUCAACAGGGUGAAACCCCGUCUCUAUUAAAAUACAGAAAUUAGCUGGGCACUGUGGCGCGCGCCUGUAGUCCCAGCUACUCAAGAGGCUGAGGCAGGAGAAUUGCCUGAACCCAGGAGGCGGAGGUUGUGGUGAGCCGAGAUCGCGCCAUUGCACUCCAGCCUGGGUAACAAGAGAGAAACUCCGUCUCAAAAAAAAAAAAAAAAAAAAAAAAAGAGUUACUUUUAGUAAGGCUUUGGCACUAGUUAGUCCAAGGAGGAGACAAAGGGUUCCUUUAGACUCAUUGUCUUGAAGGGAAAUGAAGCGACCCUUUUUGUAAUCCUGUCCACUCUGGAAAGGCAGCGCUGCUGCAGAAGAAACCAAGUGGCCGCCACAAGCCCUUCUGUGUAGAAUAGGCUGUUCAUGAAAUGAGGUAAUUGGAGGCCUUGGAAUCUUGUCAUUGUUUUCUUGUGGUGUCAAUGGGAUUAGAUUCUUUAAUUUUGGAAAUUAGACUGUUGUUAAUUAAUGCAUAUUUCUGUAGUUGCUUCCUUUACCUUAGUGGUAAAAAAAAAAAAAUGUUUUUUUUUAACGCAAGGUUGUGGUAUUUACCUGUGCUAAGAAGAAACAGAAUAGAGGUUUAGCGGCAAUACUGCCUUUAAAAUAGAGGGAGCAAUGAUCUCCUGGGAUCCAGCCAGGAGAAGAGGCAGCAAGGGCAGAAGAGUUCUCUGAACAACGCUCCAUCUGACGCUGGAGACCUGUAGGCAUCUCAGCCUCCUUUUGUCUCUGAGAAAGUUGUGGAGAUGCUAAGAUUAGGUUCUAAGCUCAACUGUUGAUAAACAAAUACAUAGAGGCAGGCAGGCAGCCUGGGUGGGGAGGGAGUGGAAGCUGGAGAGCUUCUCCCCUGCUUCCCUCCACUGCCCUUCCCCCAGGGGUCAUAGCCCACACCCACUAUCACCUGUAGCCCAGGCUUCUCCCUCCUCUGAGCCACAGACACUCGUGGCCAGCUUCUUAGGUGGCAGUUCUACCUGAUGUUUCCCCGAUCACCUUCACAAUGAACGACGAAGGGGAGCUCAUUGCUACCCUACACCAUCAACUCCCCUCCUGCUCCUCUUCCUGGGUCCUUGGGAACCGUGUUCUUACCCCUCAAGUCUGUGGGUCUCCUUUUGUUUUUGUUUUUUUUAAACUGUCUCUAUAGUCUGUCUCCACUGUCUGCCCCACUGCCACUGGCUUGGAUCAGGCCCUCAUGAUUUCUCACCUGUCUUAGCACAAUCUCCUCCUUUGAAGGCAGUGUCCCUGCCUCCAGCCCGGCCCCUCAGAAUCAUCCUUGUCCUGGUGAGCUGGCUACAGCCUUGCUACUGCACGUGGGGUCCCUGGACUGGCUGCUUCAGCAUCACCUGGAAACGUGUCAGGAAUGAAGAAUCGCCGCCCCUGUGUUCCCAAUUGGUGACUGAAGAUGGAAAACCCCAUUGAUUUGAAUAAGGAAAAUUUGAUAUAACGAAUGAGCAAAUGGAUAAAUAAAUUGUAUCCACUUAUGCA